UUUCCAGAACUUUAAGAGAGACAUUUGAAAAAUGCAUUGAUUUAAUUAAGUGCCACUGGAUGUUACAAAAGCCACCACCUUUAAUUGCCCAGCCCACCUCCUUGUGUCUGUAAACAUAUUAAAGGUGGUGGCUUUCACAACAUCUUGUGGCACUUAAUUCAAUCAAUGCAUUUUUCAAACAUCUGUCUUCAAGUUCUGGAAA